AGAGUUUGAUCCUGGCUCAGAAUGAACGCUGGCGGCGCGCCUAAUACAUGCAAGUCGAGCGAGAAGACGUAGCAAUACGUUUGUAAAGCGGCGAACGGGUGAGGAAUACAUGGGUAACCUACCCUUGAGUGGGGAAUAACUAGCCGAAAGGUUAGCUAAUACCGCGUACGCUCCUUGGACUUCGGUUCAGGGAGGAAAGCGCUACCGUGGGUAGCGCGCUCUUGGAUGGGCUCAUGUCCUAUCAGCUUGUUGGUGAGGUAACGGCUCACCAAGGCUUCGACGGGUAGCUGGUCUGAGAGGACGAUCAGCCACACUGGCACUGCGACACGGGCCAGACUCCUACGGGAGGCAGCAGUAAGGAAUAUUGCGCAAUGGGCGAAAGCCUGACGCAGCGACGCCGCGUGGGGGAUGAAUGGCUUCGGCCCGUAAACCCCUGUCAUUUGCGAACAAGUUGUUUCACCUAACACGUGAGGCAUUGAUGUAGCGAAAUGAGAAG
rnacentral:rRNA from 1 species